rnacentral:rRNA from 1 species
UACGUAGGGUGCAAGCGUUGUCCGGAAUUAUUGGGCGUAAAGAGCUCGUAGGCGGUCUGUCGCGUCUGCUGUGAAAACCUAGGGCUCAACCCUGGGCCUGCAGCCGAUACGGGCAGACUAGAAUUCGGUAGGGGAGACUGGAAUUCCUGGUGUAGCGGUGAAAUGCGCAGAUAUCAGGAGGAACACCGGUGGCGAAGGCGGGUCUCUGGGCCGAUAUUGACGCUGAGGAGCGAAAGCGUGGGGAGCGAACAGG